rnacentral:snRNA from 1 species
GUGCUCACUUCGGCAGUACGUAUACUAAAAGUGGAAUGAUACAGAGAACAUUCGCGUGGCCCCUGCGCAAGGAUGACACACAAAUGCGUGAAGUGUUCCACAUUUUU